UACGAAGGGGGCUAGCGUUGUUCGGAAUUACUGGGCGUAAAGGGCGCGUAGGCGGCUUGGCAAGUCGGACGUGAAAUCCCUUGGCUCAACCAAGGAAGUGCAUCCGAAACUGCUGAGCUUGAGUACGAAAGAGGAUCGCGGAAUUCCCGGUGUAGAGGUGAAAUUCGUAGAUAUCGGGAGGAACACCAGUGGCGAAGGCGGCGAUCUGGGUCGAUACUGACGCUGAGGUGCGAAAGCGUGGGGAGCAAACAGG
rnacentral:rRNA from 1 species